GUUAAAACACCGCUUCCCGUGCGAUCAGAGAUGUUAAGCAACAUCGUGUCUGGUCAGUACCUAGAUGGGUAACCGCUUGAAAAUAUCAGAUGCUA